rnacentral:rRNA from 1 species
GAUGAACGCUGGCGGCGUGCCUAAUACAUGCAAGUCUAUCGUACAUAUUAAGAGCUUGCUCCUCUCUCGUUAGCUGCGCCCGGGUGAGUAACACGUCACUAACCUACCUAUAAAACUGGGAUAACUUCGGCAAACCGGCGCUAAUACCGGAUAAUAUAUUUAACCGCAUGGUUCAAUAGUGAAAGCCGGUUUUGCUGUCACUUAUCGAUGGAUCCGCGCCGCAUUAGCUAGUUGGUAAGGUAAACGCUUACCAAGACAACGAUGCGUAGCCGACCUGAGAGGGGGAUCGGCCACACUGGAAGGGAGAAACGGUCCAGACUACAAUGGGAGGGAGCAGUAGGGAAUCUGCAGCAAAGGGCGAAAGUCUGAAGGAGCAACGCCGAGUGAGUGAGGAAGGUGCUCGGAUCGUAAAACACUGUUAGUAGGGAAGAACAAAGGUGUAAGUAACUAUGCACGUCUUGACGGUACCUAAGCAGAAAGCUACGGAUAACUACGUG